rnacentral:rRNA from 1 species
UACGGAGGGAGCUAGCGUUGUUCGGAAUUACUGGGCGUAAAGCGCGCGUAGGCGGCUUUGUAAGUUAGAGGUGAAAGCCCGGGGCUCAACCCCGGAACUGCCUUUAAGACUGCAUCGCUUGAAUCCGGGAGAGGGAUGUGGAAUUCCAGGUGUAGCGGUGAAAUGCGUAGAUAUCUGGAGGAACACCGGUGGCGAAGGCGGCAUCCUGGACCGGCAUUGACGCUGAGGCGCGAAAGCUAGGGGAGCAAACGGG